rnacentral:rRNA from 1 species
UACGGAGGGUGCAAGCGUUAUCCGGAUUUACUGGGUUUAAAGGGUGCGUAGGUGGAAUGAUAAGUCAGUGGUGAAAUCUUGCAGCUCAACUGUAAAACUGCCAUUGAUACUGUCGUUCUUGAAUGUAGUUGAUGUGGGCGGAAUAUGUCAUGUAGUGGUGAAAUACUUAGAUAUGACAUAGAACACCGAUUGCGAAGGCAGCUCACAAAACUAUUAUUGACACUGAGGCACGAAAGCGUGGGGAUCAAACAGG